rnacentral:lncRNA from 1 species
UAGACAUGAAAUGGAUCCUUGAUGUACUUGAAUGUCCUCUUUGCAUGUACCGAUAUAUCUCAGUAUAGUUGAAUUGAUUUGUGAUAUCAAUGGCAGGCUUGUGUAACUUGGUAAAACUAGAAGAGUUGGAUCUUAGCUUUAACGGAAUUACUGGCAGGCUUCCUAUAUGUUGGCGAAACAUGUCCUCUAUUCGGAUUCUGAAUCUUGAAGACAAUGAAUUUACAGAUAGUGUCGUGUCAUCUCCCCUCACUAGUCUUACAUCUCUCGAAUUUCUUUCCAUUUCGGGCAACCAUUUUGAUAUCCCCUCAUCACUCGGCCCACUCACAAACCAUUCAAGACUUAAGGUGCUAAUUCUUGAUGACACCAAACUAACAAUUGAUACCAAAGUUGCAUCUUUGAUCCCGAGACUCCAGUUGAAGGUUUUAAGUAUGUCAAAUAGUCCAUCAAGAGGAUUCAAAUUGACUUCUCUGGGCUUUCUCAAUCAUCAACAUGACCUGAGAAUUCUCGAUCUAUCCUCGAAUGACAUUUUGGGGCCCUUUCUAGCUUGGUUGUUGGAAAACAACACCAAGUUGGAAGAGCUUUUUAUGGCAAAUAACUUAUUUACGACACUUGAGGUUCCAUCAAUGACACUUUUUAAUCUUUCGACCAUGGACUUAUCCAACAACAACAUGAGAGGAAAGCUCACUACCGAAUUUUGGGCAAAUGUCCCAAAUCUGUCCUACCUUAAUCUAUCAGCCAACGGAUUGGAAGGGAAUAUUCCAUCUGAACUGGGUAGUGUAAAAUCCCUAGAUAUCUUAGACCUGUCUAGCAACAAUUUCUCAGGGGGACUACCUAUCCAGUUACUAGAUAGUAAAUUGGAUAUCCUCAGCGUAGCAUAUAACAAUUUGCAAGGAGAAAUUGUACUUUCCAACCACACCAUGAACCCGAGUUUGUCACUUCUGCGAUUGGAGCACAACUUGUUCAAUGGAAGUCUCUCUUUUCUUUCAUCACUCUUUGAUUUGGAAAUAUUGGACGUUAGCAACAACAUUUUCAUCGGCAAGCUUCCCAGAUUGAUUGCAAACAUGUCAUCGCUUGUGACCCUUGACUUGUCCAAAAAUCAGUUGGAUGGCCUCAUCCCUCAAGAACUCUGCAAUCUUGAUGAGCUUGAGUAUUUGGAUUUGUCUGACAACAAUCUCUCUGGUCCAUUACCAUCAUUUUUUAUCUCACGGUGGAUGCGCCACAUCCAUCUGAGUAGGAACAAACUGAAUGGUACACUCGUGCAUGCGCCCUCUAAUAGCUCCAAUUUGGUGACAUUGGAUCUGAGUGAAAAUGAGUUCUCCGGAAGCAUACCCUAUUGGCUAGGUAACCUCUCUCAAUUGAGCAUUCUUUCACUGAAAGGUAAUAGCUUCUAUGGAACAUUUCCCGAGCAAUUGUGUAAAUUGAAACGCUUAAGUAUGAUCGAUCUUUCUGAAAACAAUCUAUUUGGUCCAUUACCUAAUUGCUUGGGACCCAUGAAUUUAUCCACAAAUUACUAUGAUAAGGUAACUUCAACACAGGAAUUCUUUACAGUUAUAGGAUGGUCACCUUGGACUUAUGUGAGGAGAAGCCAUCCUACGCUCUUCUAUAAACAAAAAAUAGAAGAACUUGAUGCUCCACAUACUGUUGGGUUCACAACAAAAAGAAGGUUUGAUUCUUAUAAAGGCUACGCACUUCUUAAAAUGGUGGGACUAGAUCUUUCUUGCAACCAGUUCAGUGGCGAGAUCCCACCGAAGAUAGCAAUCUUACAAGAAAUGCUUGUGCUGAAUCUGUCACAUAACAAGCUUACAGGACGUAUACCAAUGUCAUUGUCAAGCCUCACGAAGAUAGAGAGCAUUGACCUUUCCUACAACAACUUGAUUGGUUCUAUCCCUGAAGAGCUUACUCAAUUGAAUUCCCUAGAAGUCUUCAAUGUGUCUUACAAUGACUUGUCAGGAACCAUACCAAACAAAAAUCAAUUUGGGGCAUUCGAUGAAAGUAGUUACUAUGGAAACCAUCUUCUAUGUGGACUGCCGUUGAGUAAGAAGUGCUCAACAAUCAUUAACGUUAACUACUCAACAACAAAAUCAUGCGCGAUAGCUAAACAAGAUGGUUUCAUAGACAAACAAACAUUCUAUAUCAGCUUUGGAGUGUCAUACACGACGGUUGGACUGGUAAUUCCGAUUGUUCUAUUCAUCAACCCCCAAUGGCGACAAGGAUGGUUUCACCAUGUGGAACUAGUUAUCACCACAUGUCAGAGCUUAUUCAUCACAUGCUACUAAAUUGUGCAGGACGGUUUUCAAAAACUGUCCAGAGGCCAAACAUUUUAGGUUCUCUCGUUCUGCAUUAACUGGUAAUGGUAGGAUUGGGUUUUUUUUUCCUAUUGUUUGUUAUUGUCGUUGAUCAACAUUGGCCUCAAUGUGGAUCUAUCGAGUCAGUGUAAGUUCUUACCUUCACAACUGAAUAAGGUCUUGUUUUACUGUCCUUGAAGACAAUACAGGGCAUGAUCCUUCCCUCUUUUGAACAGGUGUUUUUACAUUAUUGCUUGCUCAUCUCUAUUUGGUUAGGUGAUCAUACUACUAGUGAUGACAAACAACAUUAGAAAAACAUGGCUGUUUCUUCUCAACUUUUUUGGUUUGUGGUAACAAAUUUGCUUUCCUUUCCGAAUAAAAAUUUUCGUCUCCGUAUAUCACUUGGUCCAUUCGCAAGUCGUUCGAGACAUAAAACUCCUCUUGCUUGACAAUAUAGCACAAACAACUAAAUGUUCUUCAAAGUCUUAGGCUCAUGGCCAAUCUGCAAUUUGGUUAGGACAUCGAUUUCCAUCUAACUUUUAUGAAGGUUUACUUGUUCUUAAGUGUCUCCUGAGAUAAAUUCACGGUCAAACUUGCAUUUUUAUGACCACUUUCGUUGUUCCUGUCUUGGUGGAAUGAUGUUCUAACAUUUUGCUAGGAGCUUAGCUCUAGCUUGGAAAAAGAAGUACUGCACUGAGGCAUGCCCUGUUCAGUAUGAAAGAGACCAAAUUUGUUGUCUUGAUGUCUAGGCCAAAUGCGAGCAAGAACCAAGCCGGAUCGAGGCCCAGAUUGGUGCAAAUGUAUGAAUUCUAUUGUAAACAUUCCAUUCAUACGAGAAGGUCAGCACUGCUGCCACUUUUACAAAUUGGUAGAAAAAAGUAACAGGUGGUAUGUCAAUCAAAGUAAUAGAAACAACUAUCAGAUAAUCAUGAGCCUAUACUCACGAUCAAGAGAAAAAGGAAGCCGGACUCCUUUUUUGUAGUAAGAAAUUACUUCAACGCUUUAUGGCGGUUUCUACGGACAUACAAAAAAUGCAGCUUUGACAAGCAGUUUUGAGGACAUUCAUUCUGUUAUAAGAACAUUGGUCAUCACAAUAUAUAUUAAUAAAAAGUGAUGGUUGAGAUCCAAAUGUGGGCAAGACAUGCAAAGGAGAAUGUCCAGGCAAUUAUUCCCAGUUGAUCUACCAUGCAGCACAUGGUAGGUAUGCUUAGUCAUUCUGAUAUAUAAUUAAUUUGUAUUGAAAAAUAAUAAUGGCGCCACCUUUGUGGGCUUAAUCGUGUGCUAAAUCAUAUUGGUGUAUGCUUUUGGGCCCGGAUUUGGGUCAUCUAUUACAAUGAAUACAUUCUAUACUUUUGUGAUAGUAUAAUGUGUAAUGAAUCUAAGAAAAAAUCUUUUACAGUCAGACUAAUGCACCGGCUAACUCAGAAAUAUGUCACGUGGUUACUAUAUUAUUUAAUAAUAUCAUUGGCAGAAUACACUGAUCAUUCCGAUCCACAAUUUGAAUCACAUAUCCCUCUUAUGGUAAAUUUACCACUCGAAAUAGUAAAUUAAGGUUCAAAAUAUUUUGUUGUGGAGCUAUGCAUCAGAUUUUCUUGUGGAAAGUAAAUCAUGUAUAGUAUUACCUCGUCCCAAAGUACAUACCAAGUAAGAAUUGGUCCUUCACCUAUAUAUCUAGCAUAAUAGACCAUCUGGUGCACAUAUAACUAAUAAUGUAUAAUCUUCCGACAAUGAUCAAACAAGCCUACUUUCACAAUAUUACAUUUUAGACAAGGAACAAUUUUAGUUAUGAUUGACUUCUCAGAAAAAUUCAGCAAAACAAACAUAUUCCUCACAAUGUACAUAUAUAAACCAAAAAAAUAGAAAACAAAGAGACAAGUUCCCGAUAAAUUCACCAUAUGUUCGAUGCAACGAAUCCAAUAAGCAAGGAAAGUCAACAACUUUGGUCAACCAAUCAAUUAGUACAAUCCGCUGCCGGGAACCCAAAAAUCAACAGCACCAAUAAGCUUAAUCAUUUUAGUGCUCGAAGCCACCAUACUUUUACUGCAAUUAAUCACGCGAUCAACGAAGCACUCGGCUCGACCGAUGGCUUCACUAACCUAAACCCCAUAAAUAGAUUCUAAUCAUUUCACAACUCCAGCUCACCAUGCUCCACUAUGCUUAAUAAAGCGAUCAAUGUAGUAUCGAGCUCCGGGAAAUUAACUUUAGAGGAAGUGUAUCAGAUCUGGAGAAAUUAAGCUCCGGCGACGCGGACUUUGAACGCAGAAUGGACCCGCCGAUUAUAAUCGCCGAUCGCCACUCUUCAUCUUCUGCGUCUGAGAAUGGCGAGAGAUGAGGCGGAACAACCGGCGAUCGUAAUCGGCCGGACAGCCCACAUCAUGAAGUACCCCUCCUCCCCUGUCUCCGCUCCCGAUCGUCGCCUCCACUUCAAGGCGGCCGCAUCUCGCCAUCGCAUCGACGGCGCAGGUCCCUCCAGCCGCUCUCGCGUCGCUCUUGGUGGGGAUCUCUCUGGCUCCAUUGCUCGUCGGACAGGUCACGUUCGUGAUUGGGCCGGUUUUGAUGCCCUUGGGUCGCCCUUCUGGUUUUAUUCUUUUACGUGGCGGGAAUGGUGUCCGCUCCGUCGGAGGUGGCUCGGGCGACCCGUAAUCCAUUGGAUUCUCUAGUAAUAGGUUUUUCUUAAUCUGAGAAGUCGAUGGUAUCUUUUUUAUUCUAGUAAUUUGUUGUCUUGAUGUCUUGGCCAAAUUCAAGCAAGAACCAACCCGGAUUGAGGCUCGAAUUGGUGCAAAUGUACGAAAAUGGCUACUAGUCAUUAAUAGGGCUCCCAACCAAGCCUGGCCAGGCCAUGUGGCCGAGCGCUUGGGUGGAAGGGAAUAACCUCCCAUAUCGAAUUUUAAUUAUUUUUAGAGUCUUUUGAUGUUUUACAUGAAGUUUCUUUACUUUGCGAGAGUACUUAGAUUUUUUUUUUUUCUUUUGAGAAUUCUCUUUACAGAUCCUCGCUCUCUCGAGGAGGAAUUGUGAGAAAGCUACGGAUCAUACAACAUCAACCUGAUUGAUCGUAUCAAAUAUGAAGAAGAAAAUCUAACACACAAAAGAGAAUUAUUAUAUCAGAUAGCAUACAAGUAACGUAUCAUACCUUUUUUUUUCCUCAUAAGAGGAGAAAAAGGGGAAAAAUGCCACAUAAAAACUCUAAACUAUGUCAACUGUGAUAUAUUUACCCUAAACUUUUUGUUAUGACACAAAAAAUCCCAAAUUUGUAUAUAUGUGACACAUGUACCCUAAAUUUAUAUCCAUUUACCUGAAUACAAAUCUGGGGUUUUUAGUAUCAUAUAUAGUUUGUGGUAAACGCGUUGUACGAUAAUGAGUUGAGAUUUUUUGUGUCACAGAAAAAUUUGAGAUAAACAUGCCACGCGGGUAUAAGUUCAGGGUCUUUUGUGUCAAAAAAAAGUUUGGAGUAAAUUGUAUCAAAGUGGACAUCACUUAAACUUUUUUGUGAUUUUUUUUUCAAAAAAAAAAAACUAGAGAACUUUUGAAAAAUCAUCCCCGCUUUGGGAAAUACACAAUUUGCAUUUAUAAACUACCCCUCCACCCCAAUUUUUUUUUUUUUUUUUUAUCUCUGUCUCUCUACCUUCCGCCACACCAGUGUUGGCUUCUCUCUCCACAGCCACUAGAGCUCGAAAGUCGCACUCAAGGCCAUGGCCGCAAGCUCAAAGGCAAAUUUAAUGCCUGUGGCCUUCGAGCUCGAAAGUCAUGCGAUUUGGCGAACUCGCCAUGGCCACUAGAUUUGGCAUCAAGUUCAACAAUGGAAUUUGGGUAGCGACAAACAUGAGCUCGAGACAAGACAGAGGGAGAUAGUUGAGGCGGCUGGGUGGUGGCUUGGUGAUGCAACAAGUGUAGAUGGUGCCAGGAGCUUCAAGUCGUACGCUUGGGGUUGGGUAAGUGUCUUGAUCAAGUGGGUUUUGUGGUAGGUUUUGAAUGAUGAGUCGGGAGGAGCAAAGUUGGGGGAAAAUGACGGAUCUGUAAUUAUAAUUAACAUCAUAACUAACGUCAAAUGCAACUUGAAAUGGAAUCUGCUAGAGUGAGGAUGGUUACUACAACCACGAUAACAAACUUCCAACUAGAAUACUACAGUCCCACAUUCACCUUCUCCACACAAAGCUCUCUCUUCCACACCGAAUCUUCCUCUGCAUGUUUGGGUUAUGUGAGCCUAAUGAGAACUGGAGAGCAAAACAAAUUGAAGUGUAAUAUGCUGUCAUGCGAACUCAAUAGUUCUUAUGAUUUCACAUCAUGAUGUGCUAUCUUCAAAAUGUAAAGCGAGGAUCGUCGCAAGGACCUCUUCGGGCUCCCAUACACAACAAACUCGAGCACAAAGCUACUAGUAAAGUUGUCCAAUUAUAUCGGUAUGGGAUCUCCACCAAGAAGGAAUGAGCAUCUAGGAAAGCAAAUUUGUGUGCAAUCCGACUUCCUAACUCAGUGGUCAUUCUCUCAUCUCACUUAUUUAAUUAAUGUCAAGUGUCGCAAUAUUAGUCAAAGAAAGAUUGGGUCCCAGCAACUUCAGAGGUUAAAUUGACUCAGUUAAUCCCGUUUACAUAUAAAUACAUUACAAAUGUCAAGCCAAUGUAGAGAACUCGCCAGACAUGAUAACUAAACAUGUUCCUUUGACAAAACUUAAGCUUUACUUGAGUGCAAUUGUCAUAUGUAGAGAGUGAACGUCCAUCGAGGCGUUGGGAGAAUUCACAUGGAUGAUGAACAUUAUGACUUAGUUAUAAACGUCAAGGCAAGGUAGAGAAUUGUUAAAAUAUGUCUCAAUUUUGAGCCAUUAUGCAAUCUAACCUGAUUGGGUAAGAAAGAAAUCCAAAAAAUCUUUCUUUGAAUGGUGUAUAUAUUAGAGAGUUUCUUUUAUUUGGUUGGACGUAUUCACGAUUACAUCUAGACUUUGCAAUGUAAAAGAUUUGAGAGGAUAUUGCUUGCACACUUGGGUAAGAAAAAGAUAUAAGUUCAAUUUGGGAGGGUUGGACGUGUAGACUCCGGCGCAUUAAACAUUGAUGGAGAAAUUUUUCUAUGGACAGCUGCCAAGGACCCCAAUAGUGAACACAACAAACUCUCACGGUCAAAUUUCCUGUGGGCUUUAAUUGCCUCCUUGGAAUUUUCUUUUUGGUCAUACAAAAGAGAGCGUGUGGGGUAAGGAAGUAGUCAAAGAAAAGAAAAUAAAUUAAAAGCAAGAUUUUGCUUUUUUGGGUUUCAUUUCCUCGAGAAGCCUAAUAGUGGAAUUCCAUUAGAAAUUGGGCCACUGCACGAAAAGUAAAAGAAAGAACAUACGAACAUUCUUGAAUUAGCUAUGCGAAGGGUUUUGCUAUGGGCUUCUAUGAGCUUUGCAUGCAAUUAAGUUUUUUAUUCAUAAAGUUAUUUGGAUUUGGUCUUAAUCUAAAUAUGGGAAACACUCGAGUUUUUUAACGAUUGUAGUUCUAAUUCUCAAAUUAUAGUGAAUUAUUGGUUGCUAGCUCUCUCUGGGGAUAAAUGCCGACACUCAGAUCAAAUCUCGUAAAUAUUUGGUAUCUUUGUCAUUCCCCAUUUAGUUAUUCAAUGUUCUUGUAUUGAUUUAAUGGGAAGAUCUUCUCAAUUUUCGCGUUAAUUUUGCAACAUGUCUACUUUUGAAAUGCCUCUCAUCAGACAUGAUGACCAAAUAUGUUCAUUUGAUGAGACUUAAGCUUUACUUGAGCGCAGUUGUCAUUUAUAGAGAGUGAACGUCCAUCGAGGAGUUGGGAGAACUGACAUGGAUGAUGAACAUUAUGACUUAGUUAUAAAUGUCAAGGCAAGGUAGAGAAUUAUUAAAAUAUGUCUCGAUUUUGAUCCGUUAUGCAAUCUAACCUGAUUGGGCAAGAAAGAAAUCCAAAAAAUCUUUCUUUGGAUGGCGUAUAUAUUGGAGAGUUUCUUUUAUUUGAUUGGACGUAUCCACGAUUACAUCCACACUUUGCAAUGUAAAAGAUUUGAGAGGAUAUUGCUUGGACGCUUGGGUAAGAAAAAUAUAUAAGUUUAAACGUGUAGACUCCGGCGCAUUAAAUAUUGAUGGAGAAAUUUUUCUGUGGACAACCGCCAAGGGCCCAGUAUUUAAUACAAUGAACUUUCGCGGUCAAAUUUCCUGUGGACUUUAGUUGCCUACUUGGAAUUUUCUUCUUGGUCAUACAAAAGAGAGCACGUGGGGCUAGGAAGUAGUUAGAGAAAAGGAAAUAAAUUAAAAAGCAAGGUUUUGCUUUUUUGGGUUUCCUUUCCUCGAGAAGCCUAAUAGUGGAAUUCUAGUAGAAAUUGGGCCACCGCACGAAGAGUAAAAGAAAGAACAUACGAACGUUCUCGAAUUAGCUGUGCGAAGGGUUUUGCUAUGGGCUUAAACACUCGUUGAUUUGCCCUAUGAGCUUCACAUGCAAUUAAGUUAUUUAUUUAUAAACAUAUUUGGAUUUGGUCUUAAUUUAGGUGUGGGAAACACUCGGGUGUAAGCAAUUGUAGUUUUGAUUCUUAGAUUAUAGUGAAUUAUCUGUUGCUAACUCUUUAUGGGGAUCAAUACUGACACUCGGAUCAAAUCUUGUAAAUAUUUGGUAUCUUUGAUAUUUCCCGUUUAUUUCUUCAAUGUUCUUGCGUUGAUCUAAUAGCAAGAUCUUCUUAAUUUUCGCGUUAAUUUUGCAACAUGUCUACUUUUGAAAUGCCUCUAGUCAAGAUCACUUUGUCCUAAAAGCUCUAAUGUGAAGUAGAUUAAUAGAUCUUCCAUGUUUAGAACCAUCCAAUUUCCAAAUGUUUUCUAGUGCAGUUUUUUGCUUGUACGUAUGGACUCACUGGAACAAUCUACCGUCACCCUUACAAAGGAAGCAAUUUGAAUAAUGUUAAAUGGGCACUCAUUAAGUUAAACUAGCUGCUUUUUGUGAGUCUGAAAGGCAAUCUGUUAUGCUUUUUCUCUAGUGUGAAAUGUGCAAAAGCUAGAGAGUAGUAAUUUUCAAUAUCUUGAAAAUAUAAGCAUUCUAAGUUAGUCAUGCUGAACAAUAAGAACAGAGCACAUCAAUUACCAUAUUUAUAUCCUAUGUUAGUUUCCCAAGCAAGAAACCAGUUCAUUGUGAGUAAUCCUUUAACAUUUACUAAUUUUCAUGUUACCAUCAUUUAAUUGCAUUCUAACUGUUCAACAUGAUCUUGCAUUCCAGCUAGGAGCCAAGUAAUUCACAAGGCAUGUGCUUUUCAUUGGAUAAAGAUUGAAUUAGUCAUAUAAAAGACAAAAGGUGACUAGGCUAGACUAAACUUAACGUGUGGAAAAAGUUAUGCCAAUAGAGACAUUCAGAAAUUUCUCCACCAAUGAAAUAUGGUCAUUGCGUAAGUUACAUUCCCCACCCCACACGCUAAUUAACCUUGUCACCAAAAGGAGCUGACCUACAUUCAUCACUAAAGAUGACCAAGACUUUGACGGGAGCUGACCUACAUUCAUCACUAAAGAUGACCAAGACUUUGGCCAUGACCACAACUUCUACACUUAAGCACAGGCAUUACUGAACUCCUAUAAAGUUGCUCUAACUUGCAAAAAAGAAGUUAACUCAAGAGUGUGAUACAUAUAAAGUUUGGUCACUCGGAUCUGCAGUCAUGAAAAACAAAGCAUCGUGGCCGCUUGUGGUGAUUUGGGGUAUCGCAUGUUUAUGUGACUCUCGUGGGUGUCAGGAGCAAGAAAGGGUUGCACUCUUAGCGCUCAAUGCCACAUUGAACCUGAUAUAUAGGGUGGACUCGGGGGGAUCAUAUUUCAACUGUUGCAGCUAGGAAGGUGUUGAGUGCAAUCCCACCACAGAGCGAGUCACUCAUCUAAUACUCCCCAAUUCGAGACAUUACCGUUUUGGCUUCAAAACUUGGUACCUAAACGCUUCUCUGCUUCUUCCCUUUGAAGAACUCAAGAGCCUUGAGUUGUCCUACAACUUUUUAGGAGGGUGGAUUGCACCAGAAGGUAUAAAUUCGCCGCUCGAUCAUUUCCUAUAAAAGAAGAGAUACUCAUUAUCUAAUGAACUCAAAACUUAACAAUGUCUAGGUCCUUACUCACUUCUUGCAUUAUAGAUGAUUAUGUCCACGUCAUCAUUAAUCCACAAGUCUACGACAUAUUUCCCCCCGAAAUGGCAAUACUGGUUUACGCAUGUACUCAAAUAGAUUUCCGUGAGUUUUACUACAUUUCACUGUUUGUUUGCAAAACCAAAUAUGCUAUCUUCGAGGCUGAGCAAACUAGAGGUGCUUGACUUGAGUAGUAACUCUUUGGAUAAUUCUAUUCUAUCCAUUCUUGGUACAAUUCCAUCUCUCCAGAGUCUGUUCCUCGGUGGCAACAAUUUGAGCAGGACUUUACUUGUGAAAGGUAAAUUUCUCUGGCUUAUUCUCUGCUCAUAAUUCAGUACGAAAUUGCCACCCUACAACAUAUUUCCCCUUUGAAAUGGCAAUACCUAUUUACGCAUGUACUUGAAUAGAUUUCUAUGGAAUUUUAUGCUUUUCGUUGUUUGUUUGCAGAAACAAACCUGCUAUCUUCAAGGCUGAGCAAACUAGAGGUGCUUGAUUUGAGUGGUAACUCUUUGGAUAAUUCUAUUCUAUCCAUUCUUGGUACAAUUCCAUCUCUCCAGCGUCUGUUCCUUAGUGGUAGCAAUUUGAGCGGGACUUUACAUGUUAAUGGUAAAUUUCUCCGGCUUAUUCUCUGCUCAUAAUCCAGUACGAAAUCGCCAUCCUUGACUUAAGUUAACACUAUUUGUGGACAAAUUAGGUGGUUUCAAUAAUUUGAUGGAGUUGGACAUAAGUGAUAAUGCCAUUGAUGCAGUGGCUACUAUUGAAGGUACUAUUUCAAUUUGGAUGAAGGAGCCUCGUUUUUAUUCAUAUAUUAAACUAACUAGCCUAUGAGUCAUGUGGAGUCUUUAAUACCUUUACAUGGGCUUCACAUAAUGAAUAUAGAAGUCAUAUAUUGCAACCCCCUUCUCUUUCCAUAUAGAAAUAUUGUUGAUUCAAAAGAUUCCUAUCCCAAGGUAUCCGCGUGGGUGCUUUCAUUAGUUACUUUGGAUAAUUCUAUUCUACCCGUUCGCGGUAUAAUUUGACUCUCAGGUGUCAAUUCUCCUAACAACAUUUGAAUGGGACUUUACAUGAGAAUGAUAGUUUCUCCAGCUUAUUCUCUAUUCAUAAUUCUGUACAAAAUCGCCGUCCUUGACUUGAGUUAGCAAUAUUUGUGGACAAAUUGGGUGAUCUUAGUAAUUUAAAGGAGCUAGACAUAAGUUAUAAUGCAGUCGAUGCAGUGGCUACUAUUGAAGGUACUGUUUCAAUUUUCAUGCGAAAUCCUCAUUUUUAUUCAUAAAUGAAAGUGACUAGACUGUGAUUCAUGCAUGCUCUUUCAUAUCUUUACAUGUGCUUCAUAUUAAGAAUAUAGAAGUCAUAUAUUGUAAUCCCCUUCUCUUUUUGUAUACAAAUGUUGCUGAUUGAAAAGAUAUCUAACCCUAGGCAUCAGUGUGGGUGCUUUCCCAACUUAACUGCCAAGCAAGUUAAUUACUUGGAAUUUUACUACUAGGCACCAAAAACUUGAGCCACUUAGAGAACCUCUGAUAUAGCUAGUAUAAGUACCUAGAGGGGGGUGAAUAGGUAUAUAAAGGAUUUUUCUCGAUAAUUGCACAAUACUAGACAAUUGAUAGAUUUGAGACAAACGAUAAUCAAAGUAAGAUUGAGAGAAGAGAAAAUUGAACACGCGGUUUAUAGUGGUUUGGCUUAUGUCAAGCCUACGUCCACUCUUCUGCACUGAUAGCUUAUUGGCUGGAUUCCACUAUGAACAAAGAGAUGUUACAGUGUUGUUCUCCCUUGCUUUCUCGGUGUAUAUGAUCUACCACACUCGCUCAAGGUAUCACUAAGUAUAAACACUCUUUGUGUGUACAAUUUUGCUCAAAAUGUAUCGACUGAUAAUCAAGGUACUUCAGACUCUGGAAUUUCUCUAUCGAUCAUGCACUAAAGCAACUAGAAUGUCUUCCUUUUAUACUCCUUUAUGCCAUUAUAUCCGUUGGCACUUACCAAAGGAAUUCCUCCAAUCUACUCGUUGGACGGAAUCAAUCAAGAAGAUCAUUCGAGCUAUUAAAGGAACCUGACGAUAGCCCAUCAAUCAUGUUCGCCCAUACAAUCAGGAUCUUGGUUUCCAAGAAUAGAACCUUCCAAGAAUAUUUCGUCGACCAUUGGAUCUUCAAACGAUCUUGAUUACAAAUAAAAGAAUCCGUUAUAUUUAUCCAGCCAAGAGAUCUUCUCCAGAGGAUAAGACUAAAUCCUCAACCAAAUACUUUGGCUCUGGAUUGCCUUCGUCACUGGAUUAGAAAAACUGUCAAUGAGAAUAGUCUUGAGUCUUGAGUCUUGAGUCUUGAGUCUUGAGUCUGGUGAUCUGAAAGUCUUCAGACUCUAAACAGAAGGUCUGUACUUAUCCAGACUAGACUGAUAGAAAUGUUUUGUCAGCUUCAAAAUAUUCUGGAAAGAUUUCUCCAACAACCUCUACCUAGAUUUUGUCCACUUGAAGCAUGUGGGAACUGUCGUGCGAGCAUUAGGGGCACUGUCAUCUCUGAGGAUCCUUUCUCUCCAAUACAAUACAAUAGAAGGAACAGUACCCGUGAGUGAAUGUAUAUUCACAAUAACGCUCCAUUCAUUUCAUGGAAAACAACUUUCAAGAAAAAGUUUUUUAGAUUUUCCAGCGUUCGGGUCAUGGAAAAUAUAUAAGUAAAGGAAAAUAUUUUCCUUCAAUGGAAAAAGAAUUUUCAAAAGUCAGGAUAAUGAAGAAAUCAUUUUCCAUUCUCUUUCAUUCACCUAGACCUAUUUUCCUUUGUGCGCUCUUUUUAUUUAUUUUAUUUUUUUCUAUUUUCUUUUUUUAAUCAAAUUUUUAUUUUUUAAUUUCUUUCUUUCUUUCUUUCUUUCUUUCUCAGUUGAUUGUUGGUUACAACAACUGCCGGCAACCAACCACACGUGAGGAACAAGCUCACUAAAGGCUGAGGGCUCAUCAAUCUAAUGAGGUCUAAGCUCAUCGGCCUCGAGCAAUCUUGACCUCGCCUGUGACCAGUGAUCGGACGAACAAGAAAGAAAAAAAAAAGAAAAAAUAAUAAUUAAAAAAUCUAUUUUUUAAAAUAAAAUAAAAUAUUAUUGAAAGGAGUGCAUGGAUGAAAAUCAAAUUAGAUUUUUCAUACUAAAUGGUGUAAAAUAUUUUCUACUUCAUUUUCAGGUUCCAGCCGAGCACUAUAAAAUAUUGUCGUUUUCCUAAAAAUGACUUCUCGAAACAUUUUAUAGAAAAGUGAUAUUUUCCGUGAAACAAAUGAAGCGUAAAUUUUUAUUAAAGAAGUUCCAUUCACUCAUGAUAUCUCUGUACCAUUUCUUGAUUAUGCUUGUGUAAGGAAAUCUGAUGUUCGGUAAUCUUUUGACUUUUAAAAAGAUUUCCACAACUUCAGUAAAUUGGAACAACUCAUCUUGGAUGAUUCUUCAUUGAACACAAGCAAAGGAAUCCUUUCCAGCCUUGGUCCGUUGACAUCCCUUAGAUUGUUGUCCUCAUCCGGAACCAAUCUAAGUGGCAACCUAUCAAAUCAUAGUAAGUUCUGAUCUCUUAGUGUAAAUGCUGGACAUGAAAUGGAUCCUUGAUGUACUUGAAUGUCCUUUUUGCAUGUACCGAUAUAUCUCAGUAUAGUUGAAUGACUGUNNNNNNNNNNNNNNNNNNNNNNNNNNNNNNNNNNNNNNNNNNNNNNNNNNNNNNNNNNNNNNNNNNNNNNNNNNNNNNNNNNNNNNNNNNNNNNNNNNNNCAUGACCUUUCCUACAACAACUUGAUUGGUUCUAUCCCUGAAGAGCUACUAAAUUGAAUUCCCUGGAAGUCUUCAAUGUGUCUUACAAUGACUUGUCAGGAACCAUACCAAACAAAAAUCAAUUUGGGGCAUUCGAUGAAAGUAGUUACUAUGGAAACCAUCUUCUGUGUGGACUGCCGUUGAGUAAGAUGGUUUCAUACAUGACGGUUGGACUAGUAAUUCCGAUUGUUCUAUUCAUCAACCCCCAAUGGCGACAGGGAUGGUUUCACCAUGUGGAACUAGUUAUCACCACAUGUCAGAGCUUGUUCAUCACAUGCUACUAUUUUGUGCAGGACGGUUUUCGAAAAUUGUCAAGAGGCCAAACAUUUUAGGUUCUCUCGCUUUGCAUUUCCUGGUAAUGGUAAGAUUGGGUUUUUUUCCUAUUGUUUGUUAUUGUCGUUGAUCAACAUUGGGCUCAAUGUGGAUCUAUCGAGUCAGUGUAAGUUCUUACCUUCACAACUGAAUAAGGUCUUGUUCUACUUUCCUUGAAGACAAUACAGGGCGUGAUCCUUCCUCUUUUGAACAGGUGUUUUUACGUAAUUGCUUGCUCAUCUCUAUUUGGUUAGGUGAUCAUACUACUAGUGAUGACAAACAACACUAGAACAACAUGGCUGUCUCUUCUCAACUUUUUUGGUUAUGUGGUAACAAAUUUGCUUUCCUUUCUGAAUAAAAAUUUUCGUCUCCGUAUAUCACUUGGUCCAUUCACGAACCGUUCAAGACAUAAAACUCCUCUUGCUUGACAAUAUAGCACAAACAACUAAAUGUUCUUCAAAGUCUUAGGCUCAUGGCCAAUCUGCAAUUUGGUUAGGACAUUGAUUUCCGUCUAACUUUUAUGAAGGUUUACUUGUUCUUAAGUGUCUCCUGAGAUAAAUUCACGGCCAAACUUGCAUUUUUAUGACCACUGUCGUUGUUCCUGUCUUGUGGAAUGAUGUUCUAACAUUUUGCUAGGAGCUUAGCUCUAGCUUGGAAAAAGAAGUACUGCACUGAGGCAUGCCCCGUUCAGUAUGAAAGAGACCAAAUUUGUUGUCUUGAUGUCUAGGCCAAAUGCGAGCAAGAACCAACCCGGAUCGAGGCCCAGAUUGGUGCAAAUGUAUGAAUUCUAUUGUAAACAUUCCAUUCAUACGAGAAGGUCAGCACUGCUGCCAUUUUUACAAAUUGGUAGAAAAAAGUAACAGGUGGUAUGUCAAUCAAAGUAAUAGAAACAACUAUCAGAUAAUCAUGAGCCUAUACUCACGAUCAACAGAAAAAGGAAGCCGGACUCCUUUUUUGUAGUAAGAAAUUACCUCAACGCUUUAUGGCGGUUUCUACGAACAUACAAAAAAUGCAGCUUUGGCAAGCAGUUUUGAGGACAUUCAUUCUGUUAUAAGAACAUUGGUCACGACAAUAUAUAUUAAUAAAAAGUGAUGGGUGAGAUCCAAAUGUGGGCAAGACAUUCAAAGGAGAAUGUCCAGGCAAUUAUUCCCAGUUGAUCUAGCAUGCAGCACAUGGUAGGUAUGCUUAGUCAUUCUGAUAUAUAAUUAAUUUGUAUUGAAAAAUAAUAAUGGCGCUACCUUUGUGGGCUUAAUCGUGUGCUAAAUCAUAUUAGUGUAUGCUUUUGGGCCCGGAUUUGGGUCAUCUAUUACAAUGAAUACAUUCUAUACUUUUGUGAUGGUAUAAUGUGUAAUGAAUCUAAGAAAAUAUCUUUUACAGUCAGACUAAUGCACCGGCUAACUCAGAAAUACGUCGCGUAGUUACUAUAUUAUUUAAUAUCACUGGCAGAAUACACUGAUCAUUCCGAUCCACAAUUUGAAUCACAUAUCCCUCUUAUGGCAAAUUUACCACUCGAAAUAGUAAAUUAAGGUUCAAAAUAUUUUGUUGUGGAGCUAUUCAUCAGAUAUUCUUGUGGAAAGUAUAUCAUGUAUAGUAUUACCUCGUCCCAAAGUACAUAACAAGUAAGAAUUGGCCCUUCACCUAUAUAUCUAGCAUAAUAGACCAUCUGGUGCACAUAUAACUAAUAAUGUAUAGUCUUCCGACAAUGAUCAAACAAGCCUACUUUCACAAUAUUACAUUUUAGACGAGGAACAAUUUUAGUUAUGAUUGACAUUCCUCGUUUAAGGGUUGUCCUUGUUUCUGAAACCUUGGUUAGCAUCGUUUAAUAUAUUCCGAUUUUUAAACUCAAUUGCAACAGGGCAUCACAUCAAUUCAGUAGCAAGUUAUGGCAUUCUAAUGGGAAAGGACAAGGUGGCACCUCUUUUUUUAGUAUAUGCAACCAACUAAUAAUCUGAGCAGUUGGUAAAAUCUUCUACAAAAUGACAUACAUCACAAUACAUCUCAAUUCCCACAUUAUGCAUGUUACAGAUUAAGAACCAUUGAAGCUUGGUACUGGAUAAGGCCAAAAAUGCUUAGAUUAUCAUAAGUAACCACAGAGCACCAGCAACGGACCUCACCCAUAGCAAGAACUUCCAAUGCACCUUCAUACUUUUGCCUCCUUGUAAGUUGUUUUGCAUUUGAGUGAAGCAUUAAGCCCAUCAUCACAGCACUGGAGAAAAUCCAAAAGGUUUUUUAAAUGCCAAUUCAAAACAAUAGCAGCUAAACAGCAUAUUGUGAGAAAAGACUGCUUGAGAAAGGAUUUCUUAAAAAACAAAUUAGUCUACUGCCAACCCUCGAUCAGUUUCAGAUCCCAUAUUUACUUUCUUUCCACUCAGAUCUUCAAGUUCUAUGUUUAAGUCUUCCAGUGGCAAUUAGCCAUCUGCAUGUCUCUUAGCCAGUGCAGUGGCAGCUGCUCUGUAUUUAGAAGGAUAUACACAUUCAAUUAUAUGAGUGGAUGUGCACAUACACGCACAGUAGCCAGAAAGACUACUGUCUCUGAAAACAACAAACACGCUGGCCAAUAUCAUCAAAAAAAUAAUACAGGAAAGUGAACCACAAGAGCAGAUAAGCAUGUCCAUGUAAGUGAACAUCUGUAGGUUAGGUAUAUCCAAAUUGCUAGGCUCAUCAGUGCUUCUGGCCAAGCAUAGAAAUUUUAUGGCAUAACUAUAAACAAGUCACUUUAUCAAGACAUGCAGUCUUCUUUUGAAUAAUAAUAAAGCCCCGUGCUCAGAGCCGAAUGUCUCUUUAAGUAUCAAGAUGCACUGCCUCAUGAGUUAAGUAACGUAUGCCACGCUAAGAAUGUUGAUUGGUCCCAUGACCAUAUGCAAAGUUGCUAAAAAGGGGUGAAAACCAAACUAAAUAUGCAUGCGAAAUACAUGAUGAAGGAUUGAUUUGGUGGUGGCCGCUAACAGUUAAAGUGAGCUUGGAAUGAGGAGAAAGCAUCUUCCGAUGCAUCAAAGCUAGUUAAAAACUUCUGCACCACAGAAGCGCCAAAAGCUUCAGACUGAGCAUUAUUAACCAAGGAAGGCAUCUCUUGAACUCGUACACGCUCAUCCUAAGACCACAAAUUGCAUUGCUAUUUGACUCAGACCUGUUCUAGAAAAGCCGAGGCAUUUCGAGUUCCUUCACCUAUAACAAGAAUGUGAAGCUCGCUGCCAUUGGUAAAAGAGAAAGGGAGAUGUAAUUGAUACACCGAAUGUAGAGAAUUCUUAGCCUCAUCAAAUAUGAGCCCCCCUUAAUCACUCCAAGCAAGAUUUAUCAAAACCAUCAACCGAUUAACAAAGAGAAUGGAAAGAAUAAUAGAGAUAGAGAGCAGCAGAAGCCUGCUUUCUAAAGGUCAGCUGCCAUUCACCACAUUAUAUUUUACAAGGCCAGUCCAACAAGGUGUAUGAUCCAAUUACACAUACCCAACUUUUCAGAAUUGGGCAGUGCUCACAUGUUGGUUCACCAUGCCCUAGUCAUACAUGCCAUUCAGUAGCAAUGGAUCAAAACCACCACCUAAAGCCCCUUUCUGUUUAGACAAGUUACUAGCAGUCUCCACCAAAGCCAAUUCCCAAUCUUCCUUGCCAGAUUCGGCAGCUGGGGUUUGCCAAGCAGAAGUCACUUCUGGUUCACCAUUAGAAGGGAAUGCUUCCCACGAAUCAUUCCCUGUAUGGCCCCGCAAAUAGAGCCAAUGCAAAUUUAUUAGCUUGAUCAUCAGCAGUAACUCCAUUAUCUCUCAGAUCCGCUAAAUCCACCAUCACUUGUGGCUUUGGUGGCUCCGGUUUUGGCUCUGCCGUUGGUGCAGGAGUAUAAUUCUAUUGUGGAGGGAAUGCCUUUAUCUCAUUCAUAUCUGGCACAGGCUCCUCCUCCUCCUAAGCCACAGGGGGCAAUUCUUCCCUCCUCUCUGGGCUCUUUGGUCUCUUUGCUCUAUCUCUCACAAACUCCUCCAAUGUCUCCAAAUAUUUACUGGUAAUCCUUUGCACUUCAGGAUAUUCGGACAAUCUUGCCAACCCUGUAUCCUUACACCAAUUGUAGAAUGCAAUCAACUCAUCAAUUUGCUUAACGGCACUCGCAUAAGCAUCGAAAGCCUUGAUGCAAUCCUGGUACUCCAUAUUGAAAAACUUAUCAAGCAAGACAGCCAAAACCUCACAGAUAUCAGCAUAUACCUGAAAUCUCUCCUUCACAACAGUGUACAAUGCAACUAAGAUCAAGCUGCUAUUCUUUGCCAGACAAGUGGACCUACACACCAAGAACUGGUCCAAUAGCCUCUGCAAGUGGCCCAUUUUGCCAAAAAUCCUUUCUUGCUUCAUUUCCCUCAGUGCAGUCACUACCCUUCUAUCUUCUUUCCCUUCCUUCACAGCCACACCAUCGCUCAUAUCCCCAUAUGACCUUGACCUUCUCAUCCCCCCAAAAUUACCAUAUUCUCCUCAAUAAUCACCAUAAUCAUAAUCAUUCGCGUGGUGAGGACCGAAAAUCAUCUCGAUUCCCAUACCUAUCCUCAUUGUGAACACUACCACCACCAUUAGCACUUCCACUAGGACCGCCCCCACCGCUCUUUCUAUCAAACAGAAUCAACUCGAGUUGCUUAUCCAAAUACAUAGCAUAAGUCCGUGCAAAAGCCGAGUGGUCCCAUGAACUAGACUGAGCCUCAUCUCUAAAAUCAGACAAAUUCAACAACCUAGCACCAUGCCAGGUCGCAUACGUUAUCUCCUUGCGAAAAAUUGGGUCUCCAUCAUUCACCAAACGACGGAUGACCACUAGGGAUUUGAGAGCCACAACGUAGUCGUGGGUCUUGCUCAGUCACUUCGAAAGCGCAGAAACAAAUGCAAGAACGUAUCCGCGCGAGAGUGAAGCCAAAUUCAAGGUCCGACGAAUGUAUUUCUCAUCCACAGGAUCAUCAUCGUCGCUCGUGGCUUUCACGAUAUUUACUUUGGCCUCUUGCGCCAUGUUGCCCGCGACCUUCGCGAGGCCGAUGCUUGUCUGGUCCUUGACAGCCCCCAGCAUUUUGCGGAUCGUGCUUUGAGACAUCUUCACCGUCACCCUUACCUACCAAAACCGCACAAGUCAUCUGAACUUGUCCCGCUUGACUCAAAAGCAUCACUUGAGGAUGAUCUAACCAGCUUUCCAGUAAUUUCAAAAAAUCAACAGCACCAAUAAGUUAGUGCUCGAAGUCACCAUACUUUUACUGCGAUUAAUCACGCGAUCAACGAAGCAUUCGGCUCGACCGAUGGCUUCACUAACCUAAACCCCAUAAAUAGGUUGUAAUCAUUUCACAACUACAGCUCACCAUGCUCCACUAUGGUUAAUAAAGCGAUCAAUGUAGUAUCGAGCUCCGGGAAACUAGUUUUAGAGAAAGUGUAUCAGAUCUUGAGAAAUUAAGCUCUGGCGACGCGGACUUUGAACGCAGAAUGGACCCGCCGAUUACAAUCGCCGAUUGCCACUCUUCACCUUUUGCGUCUAAGAAUGGCGAGACAUGAGGCCGAACAACCGGCGAUUGUAAUCGGCCGGACAGCCCACAUCAUGAAGUUCCCCUCCUCCCCUGUCUGCGCUCCCGAUCGUCGCCUCCACUUCGAGGUGGCCGUGUCUCGCCAUCGCGUCGACGGCGCAGGUCCCUCCCGCCACUCUCACGUCGCUCUUCGUGGGGAUCUCUCUGGCUCCAUUGCUCGUCAGACCGGUCACGUUCGCGAUCGGGGCCGUUUUGAUGCCCUUGAGUCGCCCUUCUGGAUCCAUUCUUUUAUGUGGCGGGAAUGGUGUCCGCUCCGUCAGAGUUGGCUCAGGCGACCCGUAAUCCAUUGGAUUCUAGUAAUAGGUUUUUCUUAAUCUGAGAAGUCAAAAGUAUCUUUUCGAUUCUAGUAAUUUGUUGCCUUGGUGUCUUGGCCAAACCCAAUUAACUCGUCAGACAUGAUGACCAACAUGUUUCUUUGACGAAACUUAAGCUUUACUUUAGCGCAAUUGUCAUCUAUAGAGAGUGAAUGUCGAUCGAGGCAUUGGGAGAACUAACAUGGAGGAUGAGCAUUAUGAGUUAGUUACAAACGUCAAGGCAAGGUAGGGAAUUAUUAAAAUAUGUCUUCAUUUUGAGCCGCUAUGCAAUCUAACCUAUUUGCGUACGAAAUAAAUCCAAAAAAUCUUUCUUUAAAUGGUGUAUAUAUUGGAGAGUUUCUUUUAUUUGGUUGGACAUAUCCACGAUUACAUCCAAACUUUGCAAUGUAAAAGAUUUGAGAGGAUAUUGCUUGGACGCUUGGGUAAGAAAAAGAUAUAAGUUCAAUUUGGGAGGUUCGGACGUGUAGACUUCGGUGCAUUAAACUUUGAUGGAGAAAUUUUUAUGUGGACAGCCGCCAAGGGCCCUAGUUGUGAAUACAAUGAGCUCUCCUAUCAAAUUUCCUAUGGACUUUAAUUGCCUACUUGGAAUUUUCUUCUUGGUCAUACAAAAGAGAGCGCGCGGGGCUAGGAAGCGGAUAGGGAAAAAGAAAUAAAUAUAAAGCAAGGUUUUGCUUUUUUGGGUUUCCUUUCCUCGAGAAGCCUAAUAGUGGAAUUCCAUUAGAAAUUGGGUCAAUGGGUCACCGCAUGAAGAGUAAAAGAAAGAACAUACAAACGUUCUUGAAUUAGCUAUGCGAAGGGUUUUGCUAUGGGCUUAAACACUCGGUGAUUUGCCCUAUGAGCUUUACAUGCAAUUAAGUUGUUUAUUUAAAAACAUAUUUGGAUUUAGUCUUAAUCUAGGUAUGGGAAACAUUCGAAUAUAUGAGUAAUUGUAGUUCUGAUUCUCAAAUUAUAGUGAAUUAUUGGUUGCUGGCUCUCUCUAGGGAUAAAUACCAACACUUAGAUCAAAUCAUGUAAAUAUUUGAUAUCUUUGUCAUUUCCCGUUUAUUUCUUCAAUGUUCUUGCGUUGAUUUAAUAGCAAGAUCUUCUCAAUUUUCGCGUUAAUUUUGCAACAUGUCUACUUUUGAAAUUCCUUUAGUCAAGAUCACUUUCUCCUAAAAGCUCCAAUACAAAGUAGAUUAACAAAUCUUCCAUGUUUUGAACCAUCCAAUUUCCAAAUGUUUUCUAGUGCAGUUUUUCACUUGUACGUACGGACUCAUAGGUAUAAUCCACCAUCACCCUUGCAAAGGGAGCAAUUUAAAUAAUGUUAAAUGGGCACUCAUUUAUGUUAAACUAGCUACAUUAAGUGAAUCCAAAAGGCAAUCUGUUAUGCUUUUUCUCUAGUGUGAAAUGUGUAAAAGCUAAAGAGUAGUAAUUUUCAAUAUUUUGAAAAUAUAAGCAUUCUAAGUUAGUCGAGCUGAACAAUAAGAAAAGAGCACUUCAAUGAACCCAUUACCAUAUUUACAUCCUAUGUUAGUUUCCCAAGCAAGAAACCAAUUCACUGUGAGUAAUCCUUUAACAUUUACUAAUUUUCAUAUUACCAUCAUUUAAUUGCAUUCUAACUAUUCAACAUGAUCUUGCGCUCUAGUUGGGAGCCAAGUAAAUCACUAGGCCUGUGCUUUUCAUUGGAUAGAGAUUGAAUUAAUCAUAUAAAUGACAAAAGGUGACUAGGCUAGACUAGACUUAACGUGUGGAACAAGUUAUGCCAAUAGAGACAUUUAGAAAAUUCCCCACCAAUGAAAUCUGGUCAUUGUGUAAGUUACAUACCCCGCCCUGCGCGCUACUUAACCUUGUCACCAAAAGGAGCUGACGUUCAUUCAUCACUAAAGAUGACCAAGACUUUGGCAAUGACCACAACUUCUACACUCAAGCACAGGCAUCGCUGAACUCCUAUAAAGUUACUCUAACUUGCAAAAAAGAAGAGUGUGAUACAUAUAAAGUUUGGUCACUCGAAUUUGCAGUCAUGAAAAAGAGAUCAUUGUGGGCGCUUGUGGCGAUUUGGGGUAUCGCAUGUUUAUGUGGCUCUCGUGGGUGUCGGGAGCAAGAAAGGGUUGCACUCUUAGCGCUUAAUGCCACAUUCAAUCUGAUAUAUGGGGUGGAUGCCGAGGGAUCAUAUUUCGACUGUUGCAACUGGGAUCGUGUUAAAUGCAAUCCCACCACAGGGCGAGUCACUCAUCUGAUGCUCUUCGAGUCGAGAUAUUACCGUUUCGGCUUCAAAACUUGGUACCUAAACGCUUCUCUACUUCUUCCCUUUGAAGAACUCAAGAGCCUUGGCUUGUCCGACAACUAUUUAGGAGGGUGGAUUGCACCAGAAGGUAUAAAUUCACCGUUCGUUCAUUUCCUACAAAAGAAGAGAUACUCAUUAUCUAAUGAACUCAAAACUUAACCAUGUCUUGGUCCUUACUCACUUCCUGCAUUAUAGAUGAGUAUGUCCACAUCAUCAUUAAUCCACAAUUCUACGACAUAUUUCCCCCUAAAAUGGCAAUACUGGUUUACGCGUGUACUCAAAUAGAUUUCCGCAAAUUUUACUGCUUUUCAUUGUUUGUUUGCAGAACCAAACCUGUUAUCUUCAAGGCUGAGCAAACUAGAGGUGCUUGACUUGAGUGUUAACUCUCUGGAUAAUUCUAUUCUAUCCAUUCUUGGUACAAUUCCAUCUCUCCGAAGUUUGUCCCUCCGUCGCAACAAUUUGAGCGGGACUUUACACGUGAAUGGUAAAUUUCUCUAGCUUGUUCUCUGCUCAUAAUUCAGUACAAAAUUGCCAUCCUUGACUUGAGUUAACACUAUUUGUGGACAAAUUAGGUGGUUUCAGUAAUUUGAUGGAGUUGGACAUAAGUGAUAACGCGGUGGCUACUAUUGAAGGUACUAUUUCAAUUUGCACGAAGGAGCCUCGUUUUUAUUCAUAUAUUAAACUAACUAGCGUACGAGUCAUGCGGACUCUUUAACACCUUUACAUGGGCUUCACAAAAUGAAUAUAGAAGUCAUAUAUUGCAAACCCCUUCUCUUUCAUAUAGAAAUGUUGUUGAUUCAAAAGAUUCCUAUCCCGAGGCAUCCACAUGGGUGCUUUCAUUAUUUACUUUCGAUAAUUCUAUUCUACCUGUUCGUGGUAUAAUUACGACUCUUAGGUGUCUAUUCUCCAAACAACAUUUGAAUGGGACUUUACAUGUGAAUGAUAGUUUCUCCAGCUUAUUCUCUAUUCAUAAUUCCGUACAAAUUCACCAUCCUUGAUUUGAGUUAGCAAUGUUUGUGGACAAAUUAGGGGAUCUCAGUAAUUUAAAGGAGCUGGACAUAAGUAAUAAUGCAGUCGAUGCAGUGGCUACUGUUGAAGGUACUGUUUCAGUUUUCAUGCAGAAUCCUCGUUUGUAUUCAUAAAUUAAAGUGACUAGACUGCGAUUCAUGCAUGCUCUUUCAUAUCUUUACAUGUGCUUCAUAUUACGAAUAUAGAAGUCAUAUAUUGCAAUCCCCUUCUCUUUUUGUAUACAAAUGUUGCUGAUUGAAAAGAUAUCUAACCCGAGACAUCAGUGUGGGUGCUUUCACAACUUACCUGCCAAGCAAGUUAAAUUACUUGGAAUUUUAUUGCUAGGCAUCAAAAACUUGAGCCACUUAGAGAACCUCCACCUAGAUUAUGUCUACUUGAAGCAUGUGGCGACCGUCGUGCGAGCAUUAAGGACACUGUCAUCUCUGAGGAUCCUUUCCCUCCAGUGUAAUAUAGUAGAAGGAACAAUUACUACUCAAGGUUAGUCAAACCCGUAAGUGAAUGUAUAUUAACAAUAAUGCUCCAUUCGUUUCAUAGAAAACAACUUUCAAGAAAAUAUUUUUCAAAUUUUUCAGCGUUCGAGUCGUAAAUGAGGAAAUCAUUUUCCAUUCUCUUUCUUUCACCUAGACCUGUUUUCCUCUGUGCACUCUUUUUAGUUAUUUUAUUGUUUUUCUAUUUUCUUUUUCUAGAAAAUUGAAUUUUUAAUUCUUAAUUUCUUUCUUUCUUUCUUUCUUUCUUUCUUUCUUUCUUUCUUUUUCCUUCUUCCUCAGUUGAUUGUUGGCUACAACGAUGGCAAGCAACCAACCACAGGUGAGGAACAAGCUCGCUGAUCUGACGAGGUUCGAGCUCAUUAGCCUUGAGCAAUCUUGACCUCGUCAGUGACCAGUGAUCGGACGAACAAGAAGGACAAAAAAAGAAAAAGAAAAAUAAUUAAAAAAUCUAUGUUUUAAAAUUAAUAUAUAUAUAUAUAUAUAUAUAUUAUUGAAAGGAGUGCACGGAUGAAAAUCAAAUUAGAUUUUUCAUACUAAAUGGUGGAAAAUAUUUUCUAAUUCAUUUUCAGGUAACCGAGCACGAGAAAAUAUUGUCAUUUUCCUAGAAAUGAAUUCUUGAAAAAAAUUUUCUAGAAAACAAAUAGAGCCUAACUUUUUUAUUAAAGAAGUUCCAUUCACUCAUGAUAUCUCUAUACCAUUUCUUGAUUAUGCUUGUGUAAGGAAAUCCGAUGUUCAAUAAUCUUUUGAUUUCUGGGGAACCUAGAAAUGACUUCUUGAAAAACAUUUUCUAUAAAACAAAUAGAGCCUAACUUUUUAUUAAAGAAGUUCCAUUCACUCAUGAUAUCUCUGUACCAUUUCUUGAUUAUGCUUGUAUAAGGAAAUCUGAUGUUCAAUAAUCUUUUGAUUUAUGGGAAGAUUUCCAUAACUUAGUAAGUUGGAAAAACUCUUCUUGGAUGGUUCUUCAUUCAACACAAGCAUAGGAAUCCUUUCCAGCCUUGGUCCGUUGACAUCUCUUAGAUUGUUGUCCUCAUCCAGCACCAAUCUAAGUGGCAACCUAUUAGAUCAUAGUAAGUUCUGAUCUCUCAGUGUAAAUGCUGGACUUGAAAUGGAUCCUUGAUAUACUUCAAUGUCCUCUUUGCAUGUACCGAUAUAUCUCAUUGUAGUUGAAUUGACUUGUGAUAUCAAUAACAGGCUUGUGUAACCUGGUAAAACUAGAAGAGUUGGAUCUUAGCUUUAACGGAAUUACUGGCGGGCUUCCUACAUGUUGGCGAAACAUGUCCUCUAUUCGGAUUCUGAAUCUUGAAGACAAUGAAUUUACAGAUAGUGUCGUGUCAUCUCCCUUCACUAGUCUUACAUCUCUCGAAUUUCUUUCCACUUCGGGUAACCAUUUUGAUAUCCCCUCAUCACUCGGGCCACUUGCAAACCAUUCAAGACUUAAGGUGCUAAUUCUUGAUGACACCAAACUAACAAUUGAUACCAAAGUUGCAUCUUUGAUCCCGAGGUUCCAGUUGAUGGUUUUAAGUAUGUCAAAUAGUCCAUCAAGAGGAUUCGAAUUGACUUCUUUGGGCUUUCUCAAGCAUCAAUAUGACCUUAGAAUUUUGGAUCUCUCCUUGAAUUACAUUUCGGGUCCCUUUCCAGCUUGGUUGUUGGAAAACAACACCAAGUUGGAAAAGCUUUUUAUGGCAAAUAACUUAUUUACAACACUUGAGGUUCCAUCAAUGACCCUUUUUAAUCUUUCAGAAUUGGACAUAUCCAACAACAACAUGAGAGGAGAGCUCACUACCGAAUUUUGCGCAAAUGUCCCAAAUAUGUCCUACCUUAAUCUAUCAGCCAAUAGAUUGGAAGGGAAUAUUCCACCUGAACUGGGUAGUAUCAAAUCCUUAUAUGUCUUAGACCUGUCUAGCAACAAUUUCUUAGGAGGACUACCUAUCCAGUUACUAGAUAGUAAAUUGGGUCACCUCAACGUAGCAUAUAACAAAUUGCAAGGAGAAAUUGUACUUUCCGACCACACCAUGAACCCACAUUUGUCACGUUUGCGGUUAGACCACAACUUGUUCACUGGAAGUCUCUUCUUUCUUUCAUCACUCGUAGAUUUGUGGGUAUUGGACGUUAGCAACAACAAUUUCACCGGCAAGCUUCCCAGAUUGAUUACAAACAUGUCAUUACUUUUGGCCCUUGACUUGUCCAAAAAUCAGUUGGAUGGCCUCAUCCCUCAAGAAAUCUGCUAUCUUGGUGACCUUGAGUAUUUUGAUUUGUCUGACAACAAUCUCUCCGGUCCAUUACCAUUUUUUAUCUCAAAGUCGAUGCUUCACAUCCAUCUAAAUAGGAACAAAUUGAAUGGUACACUCGUGCAUGCCCUCUCUAACAGCUACGGUUUGGUGACCUUGGAUCUAAGUGAAAAUGAGUUCUCCGGAAGAAUACCCUAUUGGCUAGGUAACUUCUCUCAAUUGAGCAUUCUUUCACUGAAAGGUAAUAGCUUCUAUGGAACAUUUCCCGAGCAAUUGUGCAAAUUGAAAAGCUUAAGUAUGAUCGAUCUUUCUGAAAAUAAUCUUUUUGGUCCAUUACCUAGUUGCUUGGGACCCAUGGAUUUAUCCAAAGAUUACACCGAUAAGGUAAUUUCAUCAACAACGGAAAUGGGAGAUGUAAUUAUAGGAUGGUCACCUUGGUCUUAUGUGAGGACAAUUAAAAGCCAUCCUGAGUCCUUCCAUAUAAAAAUGAAAGAAGAAUUUCAAGCUCCACAUACUGUUGGGUUCACAAUGAAAGGAAGGUUUGAUUCUUAUAAAGGCUACGCACUUCUUAAAAUGGUGGGAUUAGAUUUUUCUUGCAACCAGUUCAGCGGCGAGAUCCCACCAGAGAUAGCAAUCUUACAAGAAAUGCUUACGUUGAACCUGUCACAUAACAAGCUUACAGGACGUAUACCAAUGUCAUUGUCGAGCCUCACGAAGAUAGAGAGUAUUGACCUUUCCUACAACAACUUGAUUGGUUCUAUCCCUGAAGAGCUUACUUAGUUGAAUUCCUUGGCAGUCUUCAAUGUGUCUUACAACAACUUGUCAGGAGCCAUACCACACAAAAAUCAAUUUGGGACAUUCAUUGAAAACAAUUACUAUGGAUACCAUCUUUUGUGUGGACUGACGUUGAGUAAGAAGUGCUCGACAACCAUUAAUGUUAAUUGCUUAGCAACAAAAUCAUGCGCGACAACUAAAGAAGAUGGUUUCAUAGAUGAAGAGACAUUCUAUAUCAGCUUCGGAGUGUCAUACACAAUGGUUGGACUAGUAAUUCCGGUUGUUCUGUUCAUCAACCCCCAAUGGCGAUAUGGAUGGUUUCACUAUGUGGAACUGGUUAUCACCACAUGUCAAAGCUUGUUCAUCACAUGCUACUAUUUUGUGCAAGACGGUUUUCGAAAAUUGUCUAGAGGCCAAACAUUUUAGGUUCUCUCACUUUGCAUUUCCAAGUAAUGGCAGGAUUGGGUUUUUCUCCUAUUGUUUGUUAUUGUCAUUGAUCAACAUUGGCCUUAAUGUGGAUCUAUUAGGUGUAAGUUCUUACCUUCAGAACUGAAUAAGGUCUUGUUCUACUUUCCUUGAAGACAAUACACAGCGAGAUCCUCCCUCUUUCGAAAAGGUAUUUUUACGUAAUUGCUUGCUCAUCUCUAUUUGGUCAGUGAUCAUACUACUAACAAUGACAAACAACACGAGAAAAACACAGCUAUCUCUUCUCACCAUUUUUGUUUCUGCGGUAACAAAUUUGCUUUCCUUUCUGAAUAAAAGUUUUAGUCUCCGUAUAUCACUUGGUCCAUUCGCAAACCAUUCGAGACAUAAAACUCCUCUUGCUUGACAAUAUAACACAAACAACUGAAUCUUCUUCAAAGUCUUAGGCUCAUGGCCAAUCCACAAUUUGGUUAGGACAUCGAUUUCCGUCUAACUUUUAUGAAGGUUUAGUUGUUCUUGAGUGUCUCCUGAGAUGGUUAAAUUCACGGUCAAAAUUGCAUUUUUAUGACUACUUUCGUUGUUCCUGUCUUUGUGGAAUCGUUCUAACAUUUUGCUAGGAGCUUUGCUCUAGCUUAGAAAAAGAAGUACGGCAUUGAGGCAUGCCUUGUUCAGUAUGAAAGAGAACAAAUUUGUUGUCCAGAUGUCUAGGCCAAAAUGCGAGCAAGAACCAACCCGGAUCGAGGCCCAGGUUGGUGCAAAUGUAUGAUUUCUAUUGUAAACAUUCCAUUCAUACGAGAAGGUCAGCACUGCUGCCAUUUUUACAAAUUACUAGAAAAACGUAACAGGCGGUAUGUCAUUCAAAGUAAUAGAAACAACUAGCAGAUAAUCAUGAGCCUAUACUCAAUCAAGAGCAAAAAGAAACCGGACUCCUUUUUCGUAGUAAGAAAUUACUUCAACGCUUUAUGGUGGUUUCUACGAACAUACAAAAAAUGCAGCUUUGACAAGCAGUUUUGAGGACAUUCAUUCUGUUAUAAGAACAUUGGUCAUGAGAAUAUAUAUUAAAAAAAAGUGAUGGUUGAUAUAAAAAGUAUAUCAUGUAUAAUAUUACCUCAUCCCAAAGUACAUACCAAGUAAGAAUUGGUCCUUCACCUAUAUAUCUAGCAUAAUAGACCAUCUGGUGCACAUAUAACUAAUAAUGAGUAAUAUUCCGACACAAUGAUCAAACAAGCCUACUUUCACAAUAUUACUUUUUAGACAAGGAACAAUAUUAGUUAUGAUUGACAUUCCUUGUUUAAGAGUUGUCCUUGUUUCUGAAACCUUGGUUAGCAUCGUGUAAUAUAUUCCGUUUUUUAAACUCAAUUGCAACAGGGCAUCACAUCAAUUUAGUAGCAAGUUAUGGCAUUCUAAUGGGAAAGGACUAGGCGGCACCACUUUUUUUUAGUAUAUGCAACCAACUAUUGAUCUGAACAGUUGGUAAACUCUUCUGCAAAAUGACAUCCCUCACAAUACGUCUCAAUUCCCACAUUAUACGUGUUACAGAUUAAGAAGCAUUGAAGCUCGUACUGGAUAAGGCCAAAAAUGCUUAGAUUAUCAUAAGUAACCACAGAGCACCAGCAACGGACCUCACCCAUAGCAAGAACUUCCAAUGCAUCUUCAUACUUUUGCCUCCUUAUAAGUUGCUUUGCAUUUGAGUGAAGCAUCAAGCCCAUCAUCACAGCCCUGGAGAAAAUCCAAAAGGUUUUUUUAAAUGCCAAUUCAAAACAAUAGCAGCUAAGCAGCAGAUUGUGAGAAAAGACUGCUUGAGAAAGGAUUUCUUGAAAACAAGUUAGUCUACUGCCAAACCUGUGAUCAGUUUCAGAUCCCAUAUUUACUUUCUUUCCACUCUGAUCUUCAAGUUCUAUGUUGAAGUCUUCCAGUGGCAAUUAGCCAUCUGCAUGUCUCUUAGCCAAUGCAGUGGCAGCUGCUCUGUGUUUAGAAGGAUAUACACAUUUAAUUAUAUGAGUGGAUGUGCACAUACACGCACAGUAGCCAGAAAGACUACUGUCUCUGAAAACAACAAACACGCUGGCCAAUAUCAUCAAAAAAUUAAUACAGGAAAGGGUACCACAAGAGCAGAUAAGCAUGUCCAUGUAAGUGAACAUCUGUAGGUAUGUAUAUCCAGAUUGCUAGGCUCAUCAGAGCUUCUGGCCAAGCAUAGAAAUUUUAUGUCGUAAUUAUAAACAAGUCACUUUAUCAAGACAUGCAGUCUUCUUUUGAAUAAUAAUAAAGUCCCGUGCUCAGAGCCGAAUGCCUCUUUAAGUAUCAAGAUGCACUGCCUCAUGAGUUAAGUAACGUACGCCACACUAAGAAUGUUGAUUGGUCCCAUGACUAUACGCAAAGUUGCUAAAAAGGGGUGAAAACCAAACUGAAUAUGCAUGUGAAAUGCCUGAUGAAUGAUUGAUUUGGUGUUCGCUGCUCAGAGUUAAAGUGAGCUUGGAAUGAGGAGAAAGCAUCUUCCGAUGCACCAAAGCUAUUUAAAAACUUCUGCACCACAGAAACGCCAAAAGCUUCAGACUGAGCAUUAUUAACCAAGGAAGGCAUCUCUUGAACUCAGACACGCUCAUCCUAAGACCACAAAUUGCAUUGCUAUUUGACUCAGACCUGUUCUGGAAAAGCCGAGGCAUUUUGAGUUCCUUCACCUAUAACAAGAAUAUGAAGCUUGCUGCCAUUGGUAAAAGAGAAAGGGAGAUGUAAUUGAUACACUGAAUGUAGAGAAUUCUUAGCCUCACCAAAUAUGAGCCCCCUCUAAUUCACUCCAAGCACGAUUUAUCAAAACCAUCAACCGAAUAAUGAAGAGAAUGGAAAGAAUAAUAGAGAUAGAGAGCAGCAGAAGCCUGCUUUCGAAACGCAAGCUGCCAUUCACCACAUUAUAUUUUACAGGGCCAGUCCAACGAGGUGUAUGAUCCAAUAACAAAUACCCAACUUUUCAGAAAAAUUCAGCAAAAUAAACAUAUUCCUCACAAUGUACAUAAUAUAAACCAAGAAACAGAAAAUAAAUUCACCAUAUAUUCGAUGCAACGAAUCCAAUAAGCAAGGAAAGUCAACAACUUUGGUCAAUCAAUCAAUUAGUACAAUCCGCAGCCGGGAACCCAAAAAUCAACAGCACCAAUAAGCUUAAUCAUUUUAGUGCUCGAAAGUCACCAUGCUUUUACUGCGAUUAAUCACCCGAUCGACGAAGCAUUCGGCUCGACCGAUGGCUUCACUAACCUAAACCCCAUGCAUAGGUUCUAAUCAUUUCACAACUACAGCUCACCAUGCUCCACUAUGCUUAAUAAAGCGAUCAAGUGAAUCAGAUCUGGAGAAAUUAAGCUCCGGCGACGCGGACUUCGAACGCAGAAUGGACCCGCCGACUACAAUCGCCGAUCGCCACUCUUCAUCUUCUGCGUCUGAGAAUGGCGAGAGAUGAGGCGGAACAACCGGCGAUUGUAAUCGGCCGGACGGCUCACAUCAUGAAGUUCCCCUCCUCCCCUGUCUGCGCUCCCGAUCGUCGCCUCCACUUCGAGGCGGCCGCGUCUCGCCAUCGCGUCGACGGCGCAGGUCCCUCCCGCCGCUCUCGCGUCGCUCUUCGUGGGGAUCUCUCUGGCUCCAUUGCUCGUCGGACGGGUCACGUUCGUGAUCGGGGCCCGUUUUGAUGCCCUUGGGUCGCCCUUCUGGUUUCCUUCCUUUUACGUGGCGGGAAUGGUGUUGGCUCGGGCGACCCGUAAUCCAAUGGAUUCUCUAGUAAAUAGGUUUUUCUUAAUCUGAGAAGUCGAUGGUAUCUUUUUUAUUCUAGUGAUUUGUUGUUUUGAUGUCUUAGCCAAAUUCAAGCAAGAACCAACCCGCAUCGAGGCCCGGAUUAUUGGUGCAAAUGUAUGAAAAUGGCUACUAGUCAUUCAUAGGGCUCCCAACCAAGCCUGGUCAGGCCAUGUGGCCGAGGGAAUAACCUCCCAUAUCGAAUUUAAAUUAUUUUUAGAGUCUUUUGAUGUCUUACGUGAAUUUUCUUUACUUUGUGAGAGUGCUUAGAUUUUUUUUUUUUUUUUUGCUUUUGAGAAUUCUCUUUGCCGAUUCUCGCUCUCUCGAGGAGUAAUUGUGAGAAAGCUACGGAUCACAUAGCGUCAACCUUAUUGAUUGUAUCAAAUAUGAAGAAGCAAAUUUAACAUGCAAAAGAGAAUUAUUAUAUCAAAUAGCAUACAAGUAAGGGAUCAUGCCUUUUCUUUUUUCUUUUUUUCUCAUAAGAGGGGAAAAAAGGGGAAAAAAGCCACACAAAAAAUUCUAAAUUAUGUCUACUGUAACAUAUUUACCCUAAAAAUUUUGUUACGACACAAAAAAUCUCAAAUUUGUACUCAUGUGACAUAUAUAUCCUAAACUUAUAUCCAUGCGACACAUUCAUAUCCAAAUUUAUGGUAUCACCAAACAAAAAAGAAAAUUGUUUGUGGUAUAUGUGUUGCACAAUAAUGAGUUGGGGUUUUUUGUGUCACGGAAAAAUUUGGGAUAAAUAUAUUAAUAAGUUCAGGGCUUUUUGUGUUAUAAAAAAAAGUUUUGAGUAAAUCGUAUCAAAAUGGAUAUAGCUUAAACUUUUUUGUGAUUUUUUUUCAAAAAAGAAAAUAGAGAAUUUUUGAAAAACCAUCCCCACUUUUGGAAAUACACAAUUUGCAUUUAUAAACUACCCCUCCACCCCAUUUUUUUUUUUUUUUAUCUCUAUCUCUCUACCUUCCGCCACACCAAUGUCGGCUUCUCUCUCCAUGGCCACUAGAGCUCGAAAGUCGCACACAAGGCCAUGGCCACAAGCUCAAAGGCAACAUUAAUGCUUAUGGCCUUCAAGCUCAAAAGUCAUGCGAUUAGGCGAGCUCGCUAUGGCCACUAGAUUCGACGUCAAGUUCAACAACGGAAUUUGGUUAGCGAUGGACAUGAGCUCGAGAUAGGAGAGAGGAAAUAGUUGAGGCUGGUGGCUUGAUGACGCAGCAAGUAUAGACGGUGCCAGGAGUUUCAAGUCAUACCCUUAGGUUUAAGUAUCUUGAGGUGGGUUUUGUGGUAGGUUUUGAAUGGUGAGUCGGGAGGGGCAAAGUUGGGGAAAAAAUGACAGAUCUGUAAUUAAAAUUAACAUCAUAACUAACCUCAAAUGCAACUUGAAGUGGAAUUUGCUAAAGUGAGGAUGGUUACUACAACCAUGAUAACAAUCUUCCAACUAGAAUACUACAGUUCCACAUUCACCUUCUCCACACAAAGCUCUCUCUUCCACACCGAAUCUUCCACUGCAUGUUUGGGCUAUGUGAGCCUAAUGAGAACUGGAGAGCAAAGCAAAUUGAAGUGUAACAUGCUGUCAUGCGAACUCAAUAGUUCUUAUCAUUUCGCAUCAUGAUGUACUAUCUUCAAAACGUAGAGCAAGGAUCAUCGCAAGGACCUCUUUGGGCUCCCAUACACGACAAACUCUAGCACAAAGCUACUAGUAAAGUUGUCCAAUUAUAUCAGUAUGGGAUCUCCACCAAGAAGGAAUGAGCAUGUAGGAAAGUAAAUUUGCGUGCAAUCCAACUUCCUAACUCAAUGGUCAUUCUCUUAUCUCACUUAUUUAAUUAAUGUCAAGUGUCCCAAUCUUAGUUAAAGAAAGAUUGGGGUCCCAGCAACUUCAGAGGUUAAAUCGACUCAGUUAAUCCCUUUUACAUAUAAAUAGAUUACAAAUGUCAAGCCAAUGUAGAGAACUCACCAGACAUGAUAACUAAACAUGUUCCUUGUAGAGAGUGAACAUCCAUCGAGGUGUUGGGAGAAUUAACAUGGAUGAUGAACAUUAUGACUUAGUUAUAAACGUCAAGGCAAGGUAGAGAAUUGUAAAAAAUAUGUCUCGAUUUUGAGCCCUUAUACAAUCCAACCUGAUUGGGUAAGAAAGAAAUCCAAAAAAUCUUUCUUUGAAUGGUGUAUAUAUUAAAGAGUUUCUUUUAUUUGGUUGGACGUAUUCAUGAUUACAUCCAGACUUUGCAAUGUAAAAGAUUUGAGAGGAUAUUGCUUGGACACUUGGGUAAGAAAAAGAUAUAAGUUCAAUUUGGGAGGGUUGGACGUGUAGACUCCGGUGCAAUAAACAUUGAUGAUGAAAUUUUCAAAUGGACAGUGGCCAAGGGCCCUAAUAGUGAAUACAAUGAACUCUGUACGGUCAAAUUUCCUGUGGGCUUUUAAUUGCCUACUCGGAAUUUUCUUUUUGGUCAAACAAAAGAGAGCGUGUGGGGUAAGGAAGUGAUCAAAGAAAAGAAAAUAAAUUAAAAGCAAGGUUUUGCUUUUUUGGGUUUCCUUCCUCGAGAAGCCUAAUAGUGGAAUUCCAUUAGAAAUUGCGCCACCGCACGGAAAGUAAAAGAAAGAACAUACGGACAUUCUUGAAUUAGCUGUGCAAAGGGUUUUGCUUGCAUGCAAUUAAGUUUUUUAUUUAUAAAGUUAUUUGGAUUUGGUCUUAAUAUAAAUAUGGGAAACACUCGAGUGUGUUAACGACUGUAAUUCUAAUUUUCAAAUUAUAGUGAAUUGUUGGUUGUUAGCUCUGUUUGGGGAUAAAUGCCGAACACUCGGAUCAAAUUUGGUAAAUAUUUGGUAUCUUUGUCAUUCCCCAUUUAUUUCUUCAAUGUUCUUGUAUUGAUUUAAUUGGAAGAUCUUCUCAAUUUUCACGUUAAUUUUGCAACAUGUCUACUUUUGAAAUGCCUCUCGUCAGACAUGAUGACCAAAUAUGUUCCUUUGACGAAACUUAAGCUUUACUUGAGCACAGUUGUCAUUUAUAGAGAGUGAACGUCCAUCGAGGCGUUGGGAGAACUGAUAUGGAUGAUGAACAUUAUGACUUAGUUCUAAAUGUCAAGGCAAGGUAGAGAAUUUUUAAAAUAUGUCUCGAUUUUGAUCUGUCAUGCAAUCUAACCUGAUUGGGCAAGAAAGAAAUCCAAAAAAAUCUUUCUUUGGAUGGCGUAUAUAUUAGAGAGUUUCUUUUAUUUGAUUGGACAUAUCUACGAUUACAUCCAGACUUUGCAAUGUAAAAGAUUUGAGAGGAUAUUGCUUGGACGCUUGGGUAAGAAAAAGAUAUAAGUUUAAACGUGUAGACUCCGGCACAAUAAACAUUGACGGAGAAAUUUUUCUGUGGACAACCACCAAGGACCCAGUAGUUAAUACAAUGAACUUUCACGGUCAAAUUUCCUGUGGACUUUAGUUGCCUACUUGGAAUUUUCUUCUUGGUCAUACAAAAGAGAGCGAGUGGAGCUAGGAAGUAGUUAGAGAAAAGGAAAUAAAUUAAAAGCAAGGUUUUGCUAUUUUGGGUUUCCUUUCCUCGAGAAGCCUAAUAGUGGAAUUCCACUGGAAAUUGGGCCACCGCACAAACAGUAAAAGAAACAGCAUACGAACGUUCUCGAAUUAGCUGUGUGAAGGGUUUUGCUAUGGGCUUAAACACUUAGUGAUUUUCCCUAUGAGCUUUACAUGCAAUUAAGUUAUUUAUUUCUAAACAUAUUUGGAUUUGGUCUUAAUUUAGGUGUGGGAGACACUCGGGUGUAAGCGAUUGUAGUUCUGAUUCUCAAAUUAUAGUGAAUUAUCUGUUGCUAGCUCUUUAUAGAGAUAAAUACCGGUACUCGGAUGAAAUCUCAUAAAUAUUUGGUAUCUUUGAUAUUUCCCAUUUAUUUCUUCAAUGUUCUUGCGUUGAUCUAAUAGCAAGAUCUUCUUAAUUUUCGCUUUAAUUUUGCAACAUGUCUACUUUUGAAAUGCCUCUAGUCAAGAUCACUUUGUCCUUAAAGCUCCAAUGCGAAGUAGAUUAACAGAUAUUCCAUGUUUAGAGCCAUCCAAUUUCCAAACGUUUUCUAGUGCAGUUUUUUCGCUUGUACGUACGAACUCAUUGGGAGAAUCCACCGUCACCCUUACAAAGGAAGCAAUUUGAAUAAUGUUAAAUGGGCACUCAUUAAGUUAAACUAGCUGCUUUUUGUGAAUCUGAAAGGCAUCUGUUAUGAUUUUUCUCUAGUGUGAAAUGUGUAAAAGCUACAAGGUAGUAAUUUUCAAUAUCUUGAAAAUAUAAGCAUUCUAAGUUAGUCGUGCUGAACAAUAAGAAGAGAGCACUUUAAUUACCAUAUUUACAUCCCAUGUUAGUUUCCCAAGCAAGAAACCAGUUCAUUGUGAGUAAUCCUUUAACAUUUACUAAUUUUCAUGUUACCAUCAUUUAAUUGCAUUCUAACUGUUCAACAUGAUCAUGAUCUUGCGUUCUAGUCGGGAGCCAAGUAAUUCACAAGGCCUAUGCUUUUCAUUGGAUAAAGAUUGAAUUAGUCAUAUAAAUGAUAAUAGUGACUAGGCUAGACUAAACUUAACGUGUGGAAAAAAGUUAUGCCAAUAGAGACAUUCAGAAAAUUCCCCACUAAUGAAAUCCGGUCAUUGCAUAAGUUACAUUCCCCAUCCCACACGCUAAUUAACCUAGUCACCAAAAGGAGUUGACCUACAUUCAUCACUAAAGAUGACCAAGACUUUGAUAGGAGCUCACCUACAUUCACCACUGAAGAUGACCAAGACUUUGGCCAUGACCACAACUUCUACACUCAAGCACAAGCAUCGCUGAACUCCUAUAAGUUGCUCUAACUUGCAAAAAAGAAGUUAACUCAAGAGUGUGAUACAUAUAAAGUUUGGUCACUUGAAUCUGUAGUCAUGAAAAAGAAAGCAUUGUGGGGGCUUGUGGUGAUUUGGGGUAUCGCAUGUUUAUGUGGCUCUCGUGCGUGUCGGGAGCAAGAAAGGGUUGCACUCUUAGCGCUCAAUGCCACAUUGGACCUGACAUAUAGGGCGAACGCCAGGGGAUCAUAUUUUAACUGUUGCAGCUGGGAAGGUGUUGAGUGCAAUCCCACCACUGGGCGAGUCACUCAUCUAAUGCUCUCUGGUAUGAGAUAUUACCGUUUUGGCUUCAAAACUGGGUACCUAAAUGCUUCUUUACUUCUUCCCUUUGAAGAACUCAAGACCCUUGACUUGUCCGACAACUAUUUAGGAGGGUAGAUUGCACCAGAAGGUAUAAAUUCACCGUUCGUUCAUUUCCUAUAAAAGAAGAGAUACUCAUUAUCUAAUGAACUCAAAACUUAACCAUGUCUGGGUCCUUACUCACUUCCUGCAUUAGAGAUGAUUAUGUCCACGUCAUCAUUAAUCCACAAGUCUACAACAUAUUUCUCCUCGAAAUGGCAAUACCGGUUUAUGCAUGUACUCGAAUAGAUUUCCACGAAUUUUACUGCUUUUCAUUGUUUGUUUGCAAAACCAAACCUAUUACCUUCAAGGCUGAGCAAACUAGAGGAACUUGACUUGAGUUAUAACUCUCUGAAUAAUUCUAUUCUAUCCAUUCUUGGUACAAUUCCAUCUCUCCGGCGUCUGUUCCUUAGGGAAACCAAUUUGAGCAGGACUUUACAUGUGAAUGGUAAAUUUCUCCAGUUUAUUCUCUACUCACAAUUCAGAACGAAAUUGCCACCCUACAACAUAUUUCCCCUUGAAAUGGCAAUACCUGUUUACGCGCGUACUUGAAUAGAUUUCUGUGGAUUUUUAUGCUUUUCGUUGUUUGUUUGCAGAACCAAACCUGCUAUCUUCAAGGCUGAGCAAACUAGAGGUACUUGAUUUGAGUAGUAACUCUCUAGAAAAUUCUAUUCUAUCCAUCUCGGUAUAAUUCCAUCUCUCCGACGUCUGUUCCUUAGUGGCAGCAAUUUGAGAAGGACUUUACACGUGAAUGGUAAAUUUCUUCGGCUUGUUCUCUGCUCAUAAUUCAGUACGAAAUCACCAUCCUUGACUUGAGUUAACACAAUUUGUGGACAAAUUAGGUGGUUUCCGUAAUUUGAUGGAGCUAGACAUAAGUGAUAAUGCUAUCGAUGCAGUGUCUACUAUUGAAGGUACCAUUUCAAUUUGCAUGAAAGAGCCUCGUUUUGUUCAUAUAUUAAACUAACUAGCCUAUGAGUUGUGCGAACUCUUUAAUACCUUUACAUGGGCUUCACAUAAUGAAUGUAGAAGUCAUAAAUUGCAACCCCCUUCUCUUUUCCAUAUAGAAAUGUUGCUCAUUCAAAAAGAUUCCUAUCCUAAGGCAUCCGCGUGGGUGCUUUCAUUAUUUACUUUGGAUGAUUCUAUUCUACCCAUUCAUGGUAUAAUUUCGACUCUCAGGUGUCUAUCCUCCAAACAACAUUUGAAUGGGACUUUACAUGUGAAUGAUAGUUUCUCCAGCUUAUUCUCUAUUCAUAAUUUUGUACAAAAUCACUGUCCUUGACUUGAGUUAGCAAUAUUUGUGGACAAAUUAGGUGAUCUUAGUAAUUUAAAGGAGCUGGACAUAAGUUAUAAUGCAGUCAAUGCAGUGGCUAUUGUUGAAGGUAUUGUUUCAGUUUUCAUGCAUAAUCCUCGUUUUUAUUCAUAAAUGAAAUUGACUAGAUUGCGAUUCAUGCAUGCUCUUUCAUAUCUUUACAUGUGCUUCAUAUUAAGAAUAUAGAAGUCAUAUAUUGCAAUCCCCUUCUCUUUUUGUAUGCAAAUGUUGUUGAUUGAAAAGAUAUCUAACCCAAGGCAUCAGCGUGGGUGCUUUCACAACUUAACUACCAAGCAAGUUAAUUACUUAGAAUUUUACUGCUAGGCAUCAAAAACUUGAGCCACUUAGAGAACCUCCACCUAGAUGGUGUCCACUUGAAGCAUGUGGGGAACGUCGUGCGAGCACUAGGGGCACUGCCAUCUCUAAAGAUCCUUUCUCUAUAGGAAAAUACAGUAGAAGGAAAACUUACUACUCAAGGUUAGGCAAACUCAUGAGUGAAUGUAUAUUCACAAUAACGCUCCAUUCAUUUCACGAAAAACAACUUUUAAGAAAAUGCUUUUCAGAUUUUCGAGCAUUGGAGUCAUGGAAAAUAUGUAAGUAAAGGAAAAUGUUUUCCUUUAAUGGAAAAAGCAUUUUCAAAAGUCGGGAUAAUGAGAAAAUCAUUUUCCAUUUUCUUUCUUUCAUCUAGACAUGUUUUCCUCCGUGCACUCUUUUUAGUUAUUUUAUUGUUUUUCUAUUUUCUUUUUUUUUAAAUCGAAUUUCUAAUUUUCAUUUUCUUUCUUUCUAUCUUUCUUUUUUCAUUCUUCCUCAAUUGAUUGUUUACUACGACAACGGCCGGCAACCAACCAUUGGCGAGGAACAAGCUUGCCGAAGGCCAAGGCCUCACUGAUUUGACGAGCUUCAAGCUCAUCGGCCUUGAGCAAUCUUGACCUCACUUGUGACCGGUGAUCGGACGAACAAGAAGAGGAAAAAAAGAAAAAGAAAAAAUAUUAAAAAAUCUAUUUUAAAAAAAAUAAAAAUAAAAUAUCGUUGAAAGGAGUGCACGGAUGAAAAUCAAAUUAGAUUUUUCAUACUAAAUGGUGGAAUAUAUUUUCUAGUUCAUUUUCAGGUUUUAGCCAAACACUAGAAAAUAUUAUCAUUUUCCUAGACAUGACUUCUCGAAUAACAUUUUCCAGAAAAGUCAUAUUUUCUGCGAAACGAAUGGAGCCUACUUUUUUUUUUAAUUUUUAUUAAAGAAGUUCCAUUCACUCAUGAUAUCUCUAUACCAUUUCUUGAUUAUGCUUGCGUAAGGAAAUUUGAUGUUCAGUAAUCUUUUGAUUUUUGGGAAGAUUUCCAUAACUUCAAUAAGUUGGAACAACUCAUCUUGGAUGGUUCUUCGUUGAACACAAGCAUAGGAAUCCUUUCCGGCCUUGGUUCAUUGACAUCUCUUAGAUUGUUGUCCUCAUACAACACCGGUCUAAGUGGCAAUCUAUCAUACCAUAGUAAGUUCUAAUCUCUCAAUGUAAAAGCUAGACAUGAAAUGGAUCCUUGAUGUACUUGAAUGUCCUCUUUGCAUGUACCAAUAUAUCUCAUUGGAGGAGAAUUGACUUGUGAUAUCAAUAACAGGCUUGUGUAACCUGGUAAAACUAGAAGAGUUGGAUCUUCGCUUUAACGGAAUUACUGGCAGGCUUCCUACAUGUUGGCAAAACAUAUCCUCUAUUUGGAUUAUGGAUCUUGAAGACAAUGAAGUUACAGAUAGUGUCGUGUCAUCUCCCCUCACUAGUCUUACAUCUCUCGAAUUUCUUUCCAUUUCGAGUAACCAUUUUGAUAUCCCCUCAUCACUCAGCCCACUUGCAAACCAUUCAAGACUUAAGGUGCUAUUUCUUGAUGACACCAAACUAACAAUUGAUACCAAAGUUGCAUCUUUGAUCCCAAGGCUCCAGUUGAAGGUUUUAAGCAUGUCAAAUAGUCCAUCAAGAGGAUUCAAAUUGACUUCAUUGGGCUUUCUCAAUCAUCAAUAUGACCUGAGAAUUCUCGAUCUAUCCUCAAAUGACAUUCUGGGUCCCAUUCCAGCUUGGUUGUUGGAAAACAACACCAAGCUAGAAAAGCUUUUUAUGGCAAAUAACUUAUUUACCACACUUGAGGUUCCAUCAAUCACUUCUUUUAAUCUUUCGAGCAUGGCCAUAUCCAACAACAGCAUGAGAGGAGAGCUCACUACCGAAUUUUGGGUAAAUGUCCCAAAUCUAUUGAGCCUUAAUCUAUCAGCCAACAAAUUGGAAGGGAAUAUUCCAUCUGAACUAGGUAGUAUAAAAUCCCUAUAUAUCUUAGACCUGUCCAGCAACAAUUUCUCAGGGGGGCUACCUAUCCAGUUACUAGAUAGUAAAUUGCAUCACCUCAAUGUAGCAUAUAACAAAUUGCAAGGAGAAAUUGUACUUUCCGACCACACCAUGAACCCAGGGUUGCUAUUUUUGCGGUUAGACCACAACUUGUUCACUGGAAGUCUCUCUUUUCUUUCAUCACUCGUAGGUUUAUGUGCAUUGGAUGUUAGCAACAACAUUUUCACGGGCAAGCUUCCUAGAUUGAUUGCAAACAUGUCAUCGCUUGUGGUCCUUGACUUGACCAAAAAUAAGUUGGAUGGCCUCAUCCCUCAAGAACUCUACAAUCUUGAUGAGCUUGAGUAUUUGGAUUUGUCUAACAACAAUUUCUCUGGUUCAUUACCAUCAUUUUUUAUCUCACAAAGGGUGCGUCAUAUCCAUCUGAAUGGGAACAAAUUGAAUGGUAUACUCGUGCAUGCGCUCUCUAAUAGCUCCUUUUUGGUGACCUUGGAUAUGAGCGAAAAUGAGUUCUCCGGAAGCAUACCCUAUUGGCUAGGUAACUUCUCUCAAUUGAGCAUUCUUUCACUGAAAGGUAAUAGCUUCUAUGGAACAUUUCCCGAGCAAUUGUGUAGAUUGAAAAGCUUAAGUAUGAUCGAUCUUUUUGGAAAUAAUCUAUUUGGUCCAUUACCUACUUGCUUGGGACCCAUGAAUUUAUCCGAAGAUUACACCGGUAAGGUAACUUCAGCAUCAUACAUUGAAGGUUUUCUUAUAGGAUGGCCACCUUGGUAUUAUGUGAGGACAAUUAAACGCGAUAUUGACUUUAAAUUUUUUAUUAUGAAGAAAUGGGAGAAAAAUUGCAAGUUCCAUAUAUUGUUGGGUUCACAACGAAAGGAAGGUUUGAUUCUUAUAAAGGCUACACACUUCUUAAAAUGGUGGGAUUAGAUUUUUCUUGCAGCCAAUUCAGCGGUGAGAUCCCCCCAAAGAUAGCAAUCUUACAAGAAAUGCUUGUGCUAAACCUGUCACAUAACAAGCUUAUAGGACGUAUACCAAUGUCAUUGUCAAGCCUCACGAAGAUAGAGAGCAUUGACCUUUCCUACAACAACUUGAUUGGUUCUAUCCCUG